AUUGAACGCUGGCGGUAUGCUUAAGACAUGCAAGUCGUGCGGUAGGGGCUUCGGCCCUGAGAGCGGCGGACGGGUGAGUAACACGUGGGAAUCUGCCUAUUAGUGGGGACAGCCCAGCGAAAGCUGGAUUAAUACCGCAUACGCCCUGAGGGGGAAAGCCGCAAGGCGCUAAUAGAUGAGCCCGCGUAAGAUUAGCUAGUUGGUGGGGUAAACGGCCUACCAAGGCGACGAUCUUUAGCUGGUCUGAGAGGAUGGCCAGCCACAUCGGGACUGAGACACGGCCCGGACUCCUACGGGAGGCAGCAGUCGGGAAUAUUGGACAAUGGGCGCAAGCCUGAUCCAGCAAUACCGCGUGUGUG
rnacentral:rRNA from 1 species